rnacentral:lncRNA from 1 species
GUUUCACAUUGCACAGGUGGCCAAUUUCACCAGUUCCUUGAGCCCUAUCAGUAUCAUUUAUCAGAAACAGCAGAGAAUGCUGCAUGCACUGCGCUAGAGACAUUAAUUCCAGUCGUGUCUACAUUCCUCACUGGCUAAAGGACUUCAAGAUUGGUUUGUACUUUCGGCUUACCAUUGAUAACUUAAGAUAUCAUCCCAUGUGACACAGUCUUACUGCAUCUGUAUCUUAGGUACUUUUCCAAUGUCUUUGCAUUUUACCCAAGCUCUGAGUGAAGCAUGAAUGGCCCUGCCUUCCAUUAUGGGAUUUCCAGGCAUCAGUGUCUUCAGGUAAGAAUGUGAUGGUACUUUCCUGGACCUCAGAAAUCGCAUAGAACAGGCCUGCCCUACCUC